UACGUAGGGUGCGAGCGUUAAUCGGAAUUACUGGGCGUAAAGCGUGCGCAGGCGGUUCUCCAAGUCCGUUGUGAAAGCCCCGGGCUUAACUUGGGAAUUGCGCUCGAAACUACUUGGCUGGAGUGUGGCAGAGGAAGGUGGAAUUCCAGGUGUAGCGGUGAAAUGCGUAGAGAUGUGGAGGAACACCGAUGGCGAAGGCAGCCCCCUGGGCUAACACUGACGCUCAUGCACGAAAGCGUGGGGAGCAAACAGG
rnacentral:rRNA from 1 species